GCUGGGUGCAGCUAGCUCUGCCCACGCUGUGUUCACAGCAGACUCGUCACUAAUGUCUUCUCCUGUCUCUCUCAGCUGAGAAGAUGGGUUUCUUUGGUCAGUCCAACUCUGGGUGGAGGAAGAUGAUGGACAGUGGGAAGCUUGUAGCAAGCACCCUCUCCCAUUCUGCUUCUCUCACCCCAGUCCCCACCCAGCGUCCCAAUGAAACUGCCAAAAUUAUGGAAAAUGAACUCUGGACAACAUGAAGUUUAAGGAGCUCAGGCUUGGCCAAGCACUAGAUAACAGACUCAGUUACCAGAACGUUCAUCUCCAGAGAUCAAGACAGAGCACCGUGUGACCCAGAGACAGACCCAAACACCCCCAGGGAGAGAAGAAGGAAAUGUUCACCCUCUGUGACUCAGUCUCCAUAAAUCUGUCUCAAAUGGU